GGACAGAAGGCAACUGCUGACCAGAGCACCUAACUGUUGCAGAAAGUGGAAAAGACAGGCAAUCAAUCACUUGUGGGGUGCCCAAGCCCCAUCAAAUAUUUUAGAUGCCCGGCACCCCGCAGUAACAGUCUCCUUACCAGAUGCAGAAGGGAAAAAAAACCCCAAAGAAUAAAAAGAGAACAGGGAAAUUCUUGAGAUUCUUUCCAAUGGAAAAAAUGCCUCCACUUAUCACUCAGUGUCAACAGCAGCAGACACCUGUGUUUAAACACCCAGCCACAGCGGCAAGCCAAAAGGCCAGCUCUGACGUGACAGCGCUGGAUUUUGGAUGUCAGAAGAUUAACUGAUGCUGAGCAUGUGCUGGUCAGUGUUGCAGAGACAGCACUGUGCAGCUUCCACCAUGUGGGAGGUUAAGUGUGAAAUGCUGAGUGUCUUCUCCCGUUCACCCUCAAGGUGAUGAGCAAGGAGCAGAUCAGCUGAGGAGGAACAAAGGAACACGUAGAGACAAGGAGAUGUGUUUUCACACUGUUUCUCAGCUGAGAUUGGAGGAGAAAGAGCAGAGCCCGAGCUUUUGUGUAACGUGGUGAUCUGUCAAGAGCAGUGGCAGCUGGGAACUGCAUGGCUCAGGAGUCUGGGUAAUGGGCUGUGCAAGUCCUUCACCUCUGGGUUCAGUGUUCAUCCAGGCACUGGCCAGCAGUGAGGAAAUAAUGUUGCUGUGGAAAUAAAGGGCUUGCUGCUGCUCCAACAAGCCCUGUUCCUGCUGUGGCUCCUAGCAAGUGCUAUGGGAACCAAGAACUUGUUCUGGCAAGACUGUUGUUGCUCUGUUGAAAAUUACCAGGACAAAUGGCCCCAGUUAAAGCAGCUGACACUGGUGUGCACUUGUGACCUGGGCACACAGAUGUCUUCUCAUCUGUUUGGUGCCAGAUGAGGAAAUGUGUGUGCUCAAAAGAACUGAUGGGCUGGAUAUCAAAAAGCAGUAACCAGAUGAGUUGGCGAGGCAAGGAGUGAAUGGAAGAGUGUUCACAUGGGCAGAUCAAACCUUGUUGGUUGUAGCUGGGAGUCUGGAGAAUAAUCCAAGAUUCCAGCCAAGUCCUUGAUGGUCCUUUGGUGGGGAAAAAAAU